rnacentral:tRNA from 1 species
GUCAGGGUGGUUGAGGUUAGACAAUAGAUUGUAAAUCUAUUUACGAGGGUGACCCCCUCCUCUGUCA